GAAGACUGAAAAUUGAAGUGUCGCACAGAAGAAAAGUCAAACAGCUUUGGAAUGACAUGAAGGAUUCCUCAUUUCACAGUCCUGAACUCCAAUGAAUCGAAACCUCAAACAAAGUGAGAGAAAAUGAGAGGGAGAAUGAGACCGAUCCCAUUUUUUUCCGCUUGCAUACUGCGUUUGGUCAUCGAUUGCCACCGCAGCACUGACAGCAUGCAGCCUCCACACACAGUAGCUGGAUAUAUUAGUCAGAUGUGCCAUUGUCUCAUCAGGUCUCAUUCAUCUGUCACCUGCUUCACACCUUACACCUACGCCAGUAACAACUGUUAUUUUUGUUCAUUUUCGUAACUGAGUGAAAACUCCAUCAAUCUCACAUUUUAAACAAUGACGGUUACAUAAAAGUCUUUCUUAGAAACAUAGUAAAGAUGUAAAAGGAACUCAAAAUGUCAUGGUAAGAAUUACAAAGACUUGCAACACUCUU